GCCAGUGUGGCUUAGUGGUUUGAGCACUAAACUACAGCUCUGAUAACCAGGGUUCAAUUCCCCACUCAGCCA